GUGGGGAAUCUUGCGCAAUGGGGGAAACCUUGACGCAGCAACGCCGCGUGGGUGAUGAAGGCCUUCGGGUCGUAAAGCCCUGUCAGGUGGGAAGAAACUUGUGGAUGUUAAUACCAUCCACACUUGACGGUACCACCGGAGGAAGCACCGGCUAACUCCGUGCCAGCAGCCGCGGUAAUACGGAGGGUGCAAGCGUUGUUCGGAAUUACUGGGCGUAAAGCGCGUGUAGGCGGUCGGGCAAGUCAGAUGUGAAAGCCUUCUGCUUAACAGAAGAAGUGCAUUUGAAACUACCCGGCUAGAGUACGGGAGAGGAGAGUGGAAUUCCCGGUGUAGAGGUGAAAUUCGUAGAUAUCGGGAGGAACACCAGUGGCGAAGGCGGCUCUCUGGCCCGAUACUGACGCUGAGACGCGAAAGCGUGGGGAGCAAACAGGAUUAGAAACCCCGGUAGUCC
rnacentral:rRNA from 1 species